CAAUCCCAACACAAACCCCAAGCAAGAAGUGAAAAAAAAUGGCGAUAGAAAGUCUCUAACGGCAUGUACAGGUUAAGUGCUCAUGGAAAAGCUCCUGGAGCCUUGGAUCAGCAGGCAGAACCCCUGCCCCGACCCCGACGCCCCACCGCCUCCCGCCUUCUGUUGCCGACCGCUCGGCGUCACCGGCAGCUUGUCCGCCUCCUCUCCGUCGUCGAAGCAAUCGUCGUCCGUCCACAGCUUUGUCUCCGACGCGCCGCGCGCCUGGAACGUGAACACGGCACAGGGGGAAGUGGAGGACGGUUGGGGCGACUCGGCGCCCGCGUGGAAGAGCCAGCCGUGCAGGUCCCACGUCACGUCGACUGGCGCUCCGCCG
rnacentral:misc_RNA from 1 species